AGUGAACGCUGGCGGUAGGCCUAACACAUGCAAGUCGAACGGCAGCACAGUAAGAGCUUGCUCUUACGGGUGGCGAGUGGCGGACGGGUGAGGAAUACAUCGGAAUCUACUUUUUCGUGGGGGAUAACGUAGGGAAACUUACGCUAAUACCUCAUACGACCUACGGGUGAAAGCAGGGGAUCUUCGGACCUUGCGCGAUUGAAUGAGCCGAUGUCGGAUUAGCUAGUUGGCGGGGUAAAGGCCCACAAAGGCGACGAUCCGUAGCUGGUCUGAGAGGAUGAGCAGCCACACUGGAACUGAGACACGGUCCAGACUCCUACGGGAGGCAGCAGUGGGGAAUAUUGGAAAAUGGGCGCAAGCCUGAUCCAGACAUACCGCGUGGGUGCAGAAGGCCUUCGGGUUGUAAAGCCCUUUUGUUGGGAAAGAAAAGCAGCAGGUUAAUACCCAGCUGUUCUGACGGUACCAAAAGAAUAAGCACCGGCUAACUUCGUG
rnacentral:rRNA from 1 species